AAUAAACUUAUUUUUCGUUUUUUCGUUUCUAACGUUUGACCAUUCGUCUUAUUUAAAAUUUUUUGCGAUUAAUAUUUUUAUUAUUACUAGAUGAUAAAAUAUGAAUAGUACUUUACAGGUGACUAAUUUUUUUAAGUUUUUACAUAAUUUUUUAAAAUAAAAUGAAUGGUCAAACGUUGGACACGAAAAACGAAAAAUAGGGUUAUC
rfam:Oryza brachyantha chromosome 6, whole genome shotgun sequence.